UACGGAGGGUGCAAACGUUGCUCGGAAUUAUUGGGCGUAAAGCGCACGUAGGCUGUUCGGUAAGUCGGAUGUGAAAUCCCUCGGCUCAACCGAGGAAGUGCAUCCGAAACUGCCGGGCUUGAGUACGGAAGAGGGUCUCGGAAUUCCCGGUGUAGAGGUGAAAUUCGUAGAUAUCGGGAGGAACACCAGUGGCGAAGGCGGAGACCUGGGCCGAUACUGACGCUGAGGUGCGAAAGCGUGGGGAGCAAACAGG
rnacentral:rRNA from 1 species